GGUGUGGUGGCGCAAUUGGUUAGCAAUUAGGUCUCAUAGCUGCUUGGCGCGUAGGUCUCAGUUGGUGUGGUGGCGCAGUUGGUUGAGGAAUCCUGAGGUCGAGAGUUCGAGCCUCUCUCACCCCA
rnacentral:tRNA from 1 species